GAUGAACGCUGGCGGCGUGCCUAAUACAUGCAAGUCGAGCGAACGGACGAGAAGCUUGCUUCUCUGAUGUUAGCGGCGGACGGGUGAGUAACACGUGGAUAACCUACCUAUAAGACUGGGAUAACUUCGGGAAACCGGAGCUAAUACCGGAUAAUAUUUUGAACCGCAUGGUUCAAAAGUGAAAGACGGUCUUGCUGUCACUUAUAGAUGGAUCCGCGCUGCAUUAGCUAGUUGGUAAGGUAACGGCUUACCAAGGCAACGAUGCAUAGCCGACCUGAGAGGGUGAUCGGCCACACUGGAACUGAGACACGGUCCAGACUCCUACGGGAGGCAGCAGUAGGGAAUCUUCCGCAAUGGGCGAAAGCCUGACGCAGCAACGCCGCGUGAGUGAUGAAGGUCUUCGGAUCGUAAAACUCUGUUAUUAGGGAAGAACAUAUGUGUAAGUAACUGUGCACAUCUUGACGGUACCUAAUCAGAAAGCCACGGCUAACUACGUG
rnacentral:rRNA from 1 species